CCUACGGGUGGCAGCAGUGAGGGAUAUUGGUCAAUGGACGGGAGUCUGAAGCAGCCAAGCAGCGUGAGGGAUGAAGGUACUGAGAGUGGUAAACUUCUUUUAUGAGGGAAUAAAAGGAGGGACGUGUGCCUGGAUGCAUGUACUUGAUGCAUAAGCAUCGGCUAACUCCGUGCCAGCAGCCGCGGUAAGACGGAGGAUCCGAGCGUUAUCCGGAUUUAUUGGGUUUAAAGGGAGCGAAGGUGGGUUGGUAAGUCAGUUGUGAAAGGUUGCGGCUCCACCGUCGAAUUGCCGUGGAUACGGGCAGUCUUGAGUGGAGUAGAGGUAGGCGGAAUUCGUGGUGUAGCGGUGAAAUGCUUAGAUAUCACGAAGAACCCCGAUUGCGAAGGCAGCUUACUGGCCUUUGACUGACGUUGAGGCUCGAAAGUGUGGGUAUCAAACAGGAUUAGAUACCCUGGUAGUC
rnacentral:rRNA from 1 species